rnacentral:rRNA from 1 species
AUCUGCUUGUCUCAAAGAUUAAGCCAUGCAUGUCUGAGUAUAAGCAAUUGUACAGCGAAACUGCGAAUGGCUCAUUAUAUAAGUUAUCGUUUAUUUGAUAGUACCUUACUACUUGGAUAACCGUGGUAAUUCUAGAGCUAAUACAUGCUGAAAAUCCCGACUCCGGAAGGGAUGCGUUUAUUAGAUUAAAAACCAAUGCCCCCCGGGCUCCUUGGUGAUUCAUGAUAACCUCUCGAAUCGCACGGCCUCGCGCCGGCGAUGGUUCAUUCAAAUUUCUUCCCUAUCAACUUUCGAUGUUUGGGUAGUGGCCAAACAUGGUUUCAACGGGUAACGGAGGGUUAGGGCUCGACCCCGGAGAAGGAGCCUGAGAGACGGCUACUACAUCCAAGGAAGGCAGCAGGCGCGCAAAUUACCCAAUCCCGACGCGGGGAGGUAGUGACAAUAAAUACUGAUACAGGGCUCUUUUGGGUCUUGUAAUUGGAAUGAGUACAAUUUAAACCCCUUAACGAGGAACAAUUGGAGGGCAAGUCUGGUGCCAGCAGCCGCGGUAAUUCCAGCUCCAAUAGCGUAUAUUAAAGUUGUUGUGGUUAAAAGCUCGUAGUUGAACCUGGGGCCUGGCUGGCCGGUCCGCCUCACCGCGUGCACUGGUCCGGCCGGGCCCUUCCCCCUGUGGAACCCCAUGCCCUUCGCUGGGCGUGGCGGGGAGACAGGACGUUUACUUUGAAAAAAUUAGAGUGCUCCAGGCAGGCCUUUGCUCGAAUACAUUAGCAUGGAAUAAUGAAAUAGGACGCGCGGUUCUAUUUUGUUGGUUUCUAGGACCGCCGUAAUGAUUGAUAGGGACAGUCGGGGGCAUCAGUAUUCAAUUGUCAGAGGUGAAAUUCUUGGAUCUAUUGAAGACUAACUACUGCGAAAGCAUUUGCCAAGGAUGUUUUCAUUAAUCAGGAACGAAAGUUAGGGGAUCGAAGACGAUCAGAUACCGUCGUAGUCUUAACCAUAAACUAUGCCGACUAGGGAUCGGACGAUGUUACUCUUUGACUCGUUCGGCACCUUGCGAGAAAUCAAAGUGCUUGGGCUCCAGGGGGAG